rnacentral:rRNA from 2 species
AUGGAGCACGCCGCGUGAGUGAAGAAGGGUUUCGGCUCGUAAAACUCUGUUGUUAAAGAAGAACAUAUCUGAGAGUAACUGUUCAGGUAUUGACGGUAUUUAACCAGAAAGCCACGGCUAACUACGUGCCAGCAGCCGCGGUAAUACGUAGGUGGCAAGCGUUGUCCGGAUUUAUUGGGCGUAAAGCGAGCGCAGGCGGUUUUUUAAGUCUGAUGUGAAAGCCUUCGGCUCAACCGAAGAAGUGCAUCGGAAACUGGGAAACUUGAGUGCAGAAGAGGACAGUGGAACUCCAUGUGUAGCGGUGAAAUGCGUAGAUAUAUGGAAGAACACCAGUGGCGAAGGCGGCUGUCUGGUCUGUAACUGACGCUGAGGCUCGAAAGUAUGGGUAGCAAACAGGAUUAGAUACCCUGGUAGUCCAUACCGUAAACGAUGAAUGCUAAGUGUUGGAGGGUUUCCGCCCUUCAGUGCUGCAGCUAACGCAUUAAGCAUUCCGCCUGGGGAGUACGGCCGCAAGGCUGAAACUCAAAGGAAUUGACGGGGGCCCGCACAAGCGGUGGAGCAUGUGGUUUAAUUCGAAGCUACGCGAAGAACCUUACCAGGUCUUGACAUACUAUGCAAAUCUAAGAGAUUAGACGUUCCCUUCGGGGACAUGGAUACAGGUGGUGCAUGGUUGUCGUCAGCUCGUGUCGUGAGAUGUUGGGUUAAGUCCCGCAACGAGCGCAACCCUUAUUAUCAGUUGCCAGCAUUAAGUUGGGCACUCUGGUGAGACUGCCGGUGACAAACCGGAGGAAGGUGGGGAUGACGUCAAAUCAUCAUGCCCCUUAUGACCUGGGCUACACACGUGCUACAAUGGAUGGUACAACGAGUUGCGAACUCGCGAGAGUAAGCUAAUCUCUUAAAGCCAUUCUCAGUUCGGAUUGUAGGCUGCAACUCGCCUACAUGAAGUCG